rnacentral:rRNA from 1 species
UACGUAGGGGGCAAGCGUUGUCCGGAAUCACUGGGCGUAAAGGGUGCGUAGGCGGUAAGUUAAGUCAGAUGUGAAAGUCCAGGGCUCAACCCUGGAAUUGCAUUUGAAACUGACAUACUUGAGUGCAGGAGAGGAGAGCGGAAUUCCUAGUGUAGCGGUGAAAUGCGUAGAUAUUAGGAAGAACACCAGUGGCGAAGGCGGCUCUCUGGACUGUAACUGACGCUGAGGCACGAAAGCGUGGGUAGCGAACAGGAUUAGAUACCCUGGUAGUCCACGCCGUAAACGAUGAGUGCUAGGUGUCGGGGGUCGAACCUCGGUGCCGGAGUUAACACAUUAAGCACUCCGCCUGGGGAGUACGGUCGCAAGACUUAA